CUCAGAGAGUCCCUCCCUCUCUCCUACACGGGUGAAAACUAAAAAGAGGAAAAAGAAAAGGUUUCCAUUUUUUUCCAUUUUGCAGAUGGUGAAUGGAUUUCUUGUCCAACGUAGUUUCAUAACAUUGGUAUUGUUAUUUCAGAACAUCUAAAUUGUAGUGGAUCAGAACCUCUUAUGUAAGGGAUGUGCUAGCUUUUAGUUUGCUAGCGAGGACUCAUACUUAGCACCUCUGAAUGUAAUUUGCCUACCGAUUUUUACGUGGAGAAUCACGUGAAAAAAUUACAUCUACAGCGGGCGUUCCCCCCCAAAACAAAGCAUGCUGAACGAUCAACAGACAAACGCUAGAUUCACGUUCGGUGUGAUGUGUGCGAGCCUUUUACCCAUUUCAGCUUAAUGAACAGACUUUGUUCUAGGGACAGGCUAGAAAAAAAGGGUGACAAAGACAGGUGGGUCCUACAGAAAGUGGUUCAUAGUGUGUGUGUGUACUAAAAUACUUUGUUUGUUUUCCCUCUCAGCUCCUCAGACGAGAAGCAGGCGUCCAAGAAAAAACGCAAGAGAAGUGAAAAUGAGACUCCGCCCCAGGGUAAGACACGGCGCCAUAGGAGUGGGUCCUCAAGCUCUGCUCACAGCCAAUCCCCUCCCCUGCUGAGAGAGAGGCAGCAGAACCAGCCAGUCAAGAGAGCAGAAGAAGGGAGAAGGGGGCUGGCUCCUGACAGGAGGGGUUGUAGUCGUGAGGACGGGAGUCCACAGCGUCCAGGAGGCAGAGUGAGAUCUCCCAGGUAUCACAGCUCCCCUGAACGCCGACCGAGGGCAAACAAGGAAAAGGAGAAGGAGCGACUGAAGGACAAAGAGAAAAAAAGAGAGAAGGAGCGUGAGAAAGUGAAGCCUACAAGAAAGAGACACGACUCCUCUUCCCCCUCUCCUCCUCGACUGGAACGAGAGAAAGCCAGGCGCUCCAGAAGUGGAGAGCGAGAGAAGGAUAGAGGAAAUCAGAGAACAAUGCUGCAGAGGAGCAGAGACGACUCUUCAUCCCCCUCUCCACCCCCGAAACAACCGGACACCAGGAAACAGAGGAGCGGAAAGGAGGACAAACCACAAAGACGAGACUCCUCUGUGUCUCCAUCACGAGAAAAAGAGGGAGCAAAGAGUAGAGAGGGGGAGCGAGGAAAGGAAAGAAAUGUUCCCCCCCGAGCCCCAGCUGACAGAGAGAGGGGGAGAGGGAAUGAGAAAGGACCUCUCCCUAGUCGGAAAAGCGAUGGAGGGAGGGGUAGAAACUCAUCCCGCGACUCCACAUCCCCUGUCCCUCAAUCACCUCUCGCCAAUGGACGACAGAAAGAAAGGGAGCGUGAGGGAAGGACAGAGAACGAGUGGAAACCGGAGGAGAGGGGUAAAGGGAGGGAGAGGGAAUUGAAUGAAGAGAGGCAGAAACAAGAUGAGCGGAGGAAGCAGGAGAGUGAAAGGGAAAAAGAGAGGGAGCGAGACCGAGAUGGAGGGAGAGAGCGCGAGAGAUCUGGCAGAUUGUCUUCUACUCAACAACAUCCGUCUAUCUGUUUGUCUGAAGACCUCCCCGUGGAGCGAAUUGGGGAGAGGGGGACAGUCGAGAGGGAGCGAAAAAGACAAACUGACGAGGACACCAGGUGGGAGAACAGAGACCAAAGCCUGUCGGAAAAAGAGCAAGACAAGGAGAAGCAGAAAGCGAAGGAAAGCAGCAGCAGUAGCAGCGGGAGUGACAGCGACAGUUCUUCCUCAUCCUCCUCUGGCUCAUCAUCUUCUUCAUCCUCCGACGAGGAAGAGAAGAAAAAGGGAACCAUGGUGAAGAGCAGCCUGGCGAAGAAAGCCCUCCCCUCCCUCAUCGCUCCACCCGCCGUAGGUGCCGCCUUCCAGAGGUAUGUGGCCAAUGGGGACAGAGGGAGCGCUUCGGAGAGUGACGAACAGAGAGCUAUAGGGAGAGAGAAGGAAUGUGAGAGAACGGGAGGAGGGGACAGGGUCAUGCUCUCUGAAAGGGAAAACCCGCCCCCUGCUGCCCAACGUCCCCCUGCUGCCGAACGCUCCCCCCCCACAGACAGAGAGAAGGAGCGAGGGAGGGGACAGGAGAGGUACAGCCCAACGGAGGUAGAGAGCUCCAGCCCUCCACCCUCUCCUCCCAGAAGAGGAGCCCCCCAAGGCAGAAGCGAGAGGUACGCCCCCACUGAAGAGGAAAGAGAAAAGGUGCGGGAGAAGGAGAGAGAGGGAGGGGUGAAGAGCCAGGCCAGGAGGGCAGAGAGGCACAGCCCCUCUGAGCAGGAAUGGGAGAGGAAGAGGGCGCCCUCCCCAAAAGCCCCCGCAAUAGCAGUUGUCCCGCGGCCCUCCCCCCCUCGCCGCACCCCCCCACGRCAGUACCAGGACCCCCCCAAUCACUCCCCCAGCCCUCGACGACAAGCCAGCACCCGGAGAGCCUCGCCUCCUACCCGCUCCCCGACUCGCGCCUACGCACCACGGCGGAGCCGCAGCCGGGAGCUAGAGCACAACCGAGAGAGGCAGAGAGCGAGGGAUAGAGGGGGGAGGGAUUGCUCCAGAGACAGAGGAGCCAGGAGGAGCAGGUCGAGGAGCCCCAGAAGACGCAGUCCCCUCUACAGGUCUCGGCGAUCCCCCUCUCCCAUUCGAGGAAGUAGAAGCAGCCUCUCGCUAUCCAGAGAAAGGCGGAGAGACCAGGAGAGAGAGAAGAAUAGAGAGCUGGAGAGAGCGAGGGAAAAAGAGCGGCAACGUGAAAAAGAGCAAGAGAGGCGAGAGCGUCAACCUAUUAAAGAGGUCCCCCCACCCCGUCGCUCUUCCACUUCUGGUUCUUCUUCCUCAUCCCCCUCUCCGGCCCGAGAGAGGAAGGAGCUGCCUGUAGAAAAAGUGAUGAAACCAACGGUGGAGAAAGACCGAAGAAGUGAUAGAGACGAACGAGAGAAAGGGGGAGACAGAGGAAGGAAGGCUCGUUCCAUACCCUCACCGCUCCACUCCAAGGAGACCAGUCCCCUUCCCAGCCAAUCAGAAAUCAGAGCCCACCCCAAAGAAACACGUCACUCUGACCCACCCCACUUCAGGUCACCACAGGCCCUCAGCCAUUCAGAGACCAGAGUAUCUCUACGAGACACCUCGAGGACCCAAUCUCCUCUCCCCUCACGCAGCGCUACCGAUCCCUCAGACCGACCAGUCAGGACUGAAAACGGUGUGAGCGAGAAGGGGGCCAAAGAGAAAAGGAAAGGAAAGUUAGGCAGCCCCCGUUCUUCAUCGUCUUCUUCUUCUUCCUCCUCCUCAUCUUCCUCUUCAUCAGACAGUUCUGACUCUGAUACAGAGCAAGGAAAAGCAGGUGACAGGAUAACGGCUGCCCAUAGCUCCUCCUCCUCCUCCUCUUCUGAAAGUGAGAAGGAAGACAAGAAAAAGUGCCCAGCGCAACCUCAAAGAGUGCCAGCUGAUUCGCUGAGAGACUCUCGCUCCCUCAGCUACUCUCCACCCAGACAGAGGCGACCUGCACAUUCUCCACCCAGCCGCAGGAGAGGCAGCAGACAGUCCCCAAGCCGAUCGCCAAGCAGUAGGAGAAGAAAAUGAUCCUUUGCUCUGAAGUGUAAUUGCCACUUUCCCUCCCCCUUCCUCCAUCCAAACACUUCUGGGCUGGAUUGAACUGGACUGUAUCAUUUGGAUAUUAAAGGGAGGGGAAGUUAAGGACAUUUGAUCUGUGAAUGACUGAGUGAAUUAAGCUUUGUUGUUGAUUCUGUGGCAUGAGGAUAGCACCACAGGAAGAAAAUAUUGGCAGAAUUUGAAACCCAACAGAGACCAAGAGGUCUGCUUUUAGUCAAGGGGUUUUGUACAUUUUGUUUUAUGCUGUACUGUAAGGAAGAAAUGUAACUGUAAAUGGUAGGUGGAAGAGCCCAUGGUAGGAAAGUUAAGCACAGAAGCUUUCCAGACUCAAAACACUGUGUGCACACCCACACAGUCCUAUUCAAUUAUCUCAAAACAACAAAGUAACAUUCACUGUGCAUUUUCUUCCCCUCUGUAUUUGUGUUGAUCAACAUGUAGAUAUGACCCAUCUGUGUUUUGGUUAUCGCUGAAUUAUGUGAUGUUUCCAUGUUGAUUAGAAACUGCAACUCAUGGUUUGUUUCUCUUUGAAAAUAAUGAAUAAUAAUAAAAAAGUUGUAUCAUUUGUGUUGGCAGUGAUUAAUUUUCAACCAUUCAAUUGUUUGUAAGUAAUCUCUGCAACAUUGAACUAAAAUUUCGUGCCAUUAAAUGCGGAUUAAUUUGUAAGUAAAAACAAGUGCAAUCACUAACCAGUUUUCCAUCCAACCUUUCUAUGCGAGUUAAGUACAUGACAGGCCUGAUGGAAACAACAUUUGUUGGUAAACUUUCCAAGUGUAGUGGGACCGCUUUUAUGCACAAAUAUCGAUAUAUCUAAGUAAACUUGGGAGUCAGGAGAACGUGUUUUCGGCUCGCAACGACUAGUCGCAAUCAUCGCGCAGGGUGUAAUUGCGGCAUGCAAUUCUGGGCAUGUACAGGAAACCCUCUAUAUUUAGGUUUGUCCAUUUUUAAUAUUGGACAGGCGGGGGCAGUACAGUAGGUGGCGUUAAUGCACAAUAACGUUGGAUGCCAGCCACCGCUAAACUCCAUAGAAGGAGUGCACUGUUCUCGCAGCAGUAUAGGGGGUGAUG
rnacentral:lncRNA from 1 species